AGCUACUAAGAGCGAAUGGUGGAUGCCUUGACUGGUAAAGGCGAUGAAGGACGUACUAGACUGCGAUAAGCUACGGGGAGCUGUCAAGAAGCUUUGAUCCGUAGAUUUCCGAAUGGGGCAACCCAAUGUAUAGAGAUAUACAUUACCUAUAUAGGAGCGAACGAGGGGAAUUGAAACAUCUUAGUACCCUCAGGAAAAGAAAUCAAUAGAGAUUGCGUCAGUAGCGGCGAGCGAAAGCGCAAGAGGGCAAACCCAGUGCUUGCACUGGGGGUUGUAGGACUGCAAUGUGCAAGAGGUAAGUUUAGCAGAACAUUCUGGAAAGUAUAACCAUAGAGGGUGAUAGUCCCGUAUGCGAAAAACAAACCUUAGCUAGCAGUAUCCUGAGUAGGGCGGGACACGAGGAAUCCUGUCUGAAUCCGGGUCGACCACGAUCCAACCCUAAAUACUAAUACCAGAUCGAUAGUGCACAAGUACCGUGAGGGAAAGGUGAAAAGAACUGAGGUGAUCAGAGUGAAAUAGAACCUGAAACCAUUUGCUUACAAUCAUUCAGAGCCCUAUGUAGCAAUACAGGGUGAUGGACUGCCUUUUGCAUAAUGAGCCUGCGAGUUGUGGUGUCUGGCAAGGUUAAGCAAACGCGAAGCCGUAGCGAAAGCGAGUCUGAAUAGGGCGCUUAGUCAGAUGCUGCAGACCCGAAACGAAGUGAUCUAUCCAUGAGCAAGUUGAAGCUAGUGUAAGAACUAGUGGAGGACUGAACCCAUAGGCGUUGAAAAGCCCCGGGAUGACUUGUGGAUAGGGGUGAAAGGCCAAUCAAACUUCGUGAUAGCUGGUUCUCUCCGAAAUAUAUUUAGGUAUAGCGUUGUGUCGUAAUAUAAGGGGGUAGAGCACUGAAUGGGCUAGGGCAUACACCAAUGUACCAAACCCUAUCAAACUCCGAAUACCUUAUAUGUAAUCACAGCAGUCAGGCGGCGAGUGAUAAAAUCCGUCGUCAAGAGGGAAACAACCCAGACUACCAGCUAAGGUCCCUAAAUCUUACUUAAGUGGAAAACGAUGUGAAGUUACUUAAACAACCAGGAGGUUGGCUUAGAAGCAGCCAUCCUUUAAAGAAAGCGUAAUAGCUCACUGGUCUAGUGAUUUUGCGCGGAAAAUAUAACGGGGCUAAAGUAAGUACCGAAGCUGUAGACUUGACAUUAGUCAAGUGGUAGGAGAGCGUUCUAUUUGCGUCGAAGGUAUACCGGUAAGGAGUGCUGGAGCGAAUAGAAGUGAGCAUGCAGGCAUGAGUAGCGAUAAUUAAUGUGAGAAUCAUUAACGCCGUAAACCCAAGGUUUCCUACGCGAUGCUCGUCAUCGUAGGGUUAGUCGGGUCCUAAGUCGAGUCCGAAAGGGGUAGACGAUGGCAAAUUGGUUAAUAUUCCAAUACCAACAUUAGUGUGCGAUGGAAGGACGCUUAGGGCUAAGGGGGCUAGCGGAUGGAAGUGCUAGUCUAAGGUCGUAGGAGGUUAUACAGGCAAAUCCGUAUAACAAUACUCCGAGAACUGAAAGGCUUUUUGAAGUCUUCGGAUGGAUAGAAGAACCCCUGAUGCCGUCGAGCCAAGAAAAGUUUCUAAGUUUAGCUAAUGUUGCCCGUACCGUAAACCGACACAGGUGGGUGGGAUGAGUAUUCUAAGGCGCGUGGAAGAACUCUCUUUAAGGAACUCUGCAAAAUAGCACCGUAUCUUCGGUAUAAGGUGUGGUUAGCUUUGUAUUAGGAUUUACUCCGAAAGCAAGGAAACUUACAACAAAGAGUCCCUCCCGACUGUUUACCAAAAACACAGCACUCUGCUAACUCGUAAGAGGAUGUAUAGGGUGUGACGCCUGCCCGGUGCUCGAAGGUUAAUUGAUGGGGUUAGCAUUAGCGAAGCUCUUGAUCGAAGCCCGAGUAAACGGCGGCCGUAACUAUAACGGUCCUAAGGUAGCGAAAUUCCUUGUCGGUUAAAUACCGACCUGCAUGAAUGGCGUAACGAGAUGGGAGCUGUCUCAAAGAGGGAUCCAGUGAAAUUGUAGUGGAGGUGAAAAUUCCUCCUACCCGCGGCAAGACGGAAAGACCCCGUGGACCUUUACUACAGCUUGACACUGCUACUUGGAUAAGAAUGUGCAGGAUAGGUGGGAGGCUUUGAGUAUAUGACGCCAGUUGUAUAUGAGCCAUUGUUGAGAUACCACUCUUUCUUAUUUGGGUAGCUAACCAGCUUGAGUUAUCCUCAAGUGGGACAAUGUCUGGUGGGUAGUUUGACUGGGGCGGUCGCCUCCCAAAUAAUAACGGAGGCUUACAAAGGUUGGCUCAGAACGGUUGGAAAUCGUUCGUAGAGUAUAAAGGUAUAAGCCAGCUUAACUGCAAGACAUACAAGUCAAGCAGAGACGAAAGUCGGUCUUAGUGAUCCGGUGGUUCUGUGUGGAAGGGCCAUCGCUCAAAGGAUAAAAGGUACCCCGGGGAUAACAGGCUGAUCUCCCCCAAGAGCUCACAUCGACGGGGAGGUUUGGCACCUCGAUGUCGGCUCAUCGCAUCCUGGGGCUGGAGCAGGUCCCAAGGGUAUGGCUGUUCGCCAUUUAAAGCGGUACGCGAGCUGGGUUCAGAACGUCGUGAGACAGUUCGGUCCCUAUCUGCCGUGGGCGUAAGAAGAUUGAAGAGAUUUGACCCUAGUACGAGAGGACCGGGUUGAACAAACCACUGGUGUAGCUGUUGUUCUGCCAAGAGCAUCGCAGCGUAGCUAAGUUUGGAAAGGAUAAACGCUGAAAGCAUCUAAGCGUGAAGCCAACUCUAAGAUGAAUCUUCUCUAAGCUCUCUAGAAGACUACUAGUUUGAUAGGCUGGGUGUGUAAUGGAUGAAAGUCCUUUAGCUGACCAGUACUAAUAGAGCGUUUGGCUUAUCUUUAAUAAAGCAU
rnacentral:rRNA from 1 species